AGAUAAACACAUUUCCAUGGUUUUACAUAUCUUUUCCAGUGACAGACUGUUUCUCAUUUUCUCAUAAAGAUAAAAGUUAAUGCCUAGCUAGAUAAGCACACAACACAGAUAUGAAGCACACAUGAACUAAAAGUGCUUGCUAGCUUAGUGACAAGCAAGUCAUGAGAGCAGUAUCUUGCACUAACUAAAGUGCUACAUCUAUUAUCACCGAACCUCUAUAACACAAAAGAUGCCUAUGUUUGCUGAUGCAAACAACACAGAGGCCGGAAUAGGAAGCACGACAUCCCUAGUGGGCAAAGCAAACACACGCAGAUACAAGUGAAUGAAUAAGAUUCAAAUAUGUGAAACAAUAAUAGACACCACUCCAUUCAACCUGCACAAUUGUUCAUAAUCAGAAAUAAUGAUCAUGCCCCUUAUCCCCCACCCCCACCCCCACCC
rnacentral:lncRNA from 1 species